rnacentral:rRNA from 1 species
AUUGAACGCUGGCGGCAGGCCUAACACAUGCAAGUCGAACGAGUGGCGGACGGGUGAGUAAUGUCUGGGACACUGCCUGAUGGAGGGGGAUAACUACUGGAAACUGUAGCUAAUACCGCAUACCCUCAGAUGUGCCCAUAUGGGAUUAGCUAGGAGUUGGGGUAAAGGCUCACCUAGGCGACGAUCCCUAGCUGGUCUGAGAGGAUGACCAGCCACACUGGAACUGAGACACGGCCCAGACUCCUACGGGAGGCAGCAGUGGGGAAUAUUGCACAAUGGGCGCAAGCCUGAUGCAGCCAUGCGGCGUGUAUGAAGAAGGCCGUAGGGUUGUAAAGUACUUUCAGCGGGGAGGCGUUACCCGCAGAAGAAGCACCGGCUAACUCCGUGCCAGCAGCCGCGGUAAUAC